rnacentral:rRNA from 1 species
GAUGAACGCUGGCGGCGUGCCUAAUACAUGCAAGUCGAGCGAAUGGAUUAAGAGCUUGCUCUUAUGAAGUUAGCGGCGGACGGGUGAGUAACACGUGGGUAACCUGCCCAUAAGACUGGGAUAACUCCGGGAAACCGGGGCUAAUACCGGAUAACAUUUUGAACCGCAUGGUUCGAAAUUGAAAGGCGGCUUCGGCUGUCACUUAUGGAUGGACCCGCGUCGCAUUAGCUAGUUGGUGCGGUAACGGCUCACCAAGGCAACGAUGCGUAGCCGACCUGGGAGGGUGAUCGGCCACACUGGGACUGAGACACGGCCCAGACUCCUACGGGAGGCAGCAGUAGGCAAUCUUCCGCAAUGGACGAAAGUCUGACGGAGCAACGCCGCGUGAGUGAUGAAGGCUUUCGGGACGUAAAACUCUGUUGUUAGGGAAGAACAAGUGCUAGUUGAAUAAGCUGGCACCUUGACGGUACCUAACCAGAAAGCCACGGCUAACUACGUGCCAGCAGCCGCAGUAA